rnacentral:rRNA from 1 species
GGACAGCGGCGGACGGGUGAGUAUCGCGUGGGAACCUACCUAUCAGUACGGAACAACAGUUAGAAAUGACUGCUAAUACCGUAUACGCCCUUUUGGGGAAAGAUUCAUCGCUGAUAGAUGGGCCCGCGUUAGAUUAGCUAGAUGGUGAGGUAAUGGCUCACCAUGGCGACGAUCUAUAGCUGGUUUGAGAGGAUGACCAGCCACACUGGGACUGAGACACGGCCCAGACUCC